rnacentral:siRNA from 1 species
AUGAUAUGAGUCAAAUUGCCUA